AUUUGUUUUAAAAACUAAACUUCAUGUAAUUUGUUAUUUUAUCAAUUAUUACUAAGAUAAUAUACAACGUUGGACUAUACAAUGUACCAGUGUGACGUGGUAUACUGGAAGUGAUGAUUAUAACUUAUACAGUUAUACACAAUUCUGUAUUUUACUAUCACAUAUGCGACGUAUUAAUCAAGAAUAUUGACAAACGUCAAGGGCGACUCAAGGCUACAAUAUAUAACACAAAUAUCGACGACUUUCCUACAUAAGCAAUUUUAUCCUUUCACAAGUUCUACCAA